rnacentral:rRNA from 1 species
GACGAACGCUGGCGGCGUGCUUAACACAUGCAAGUCGAACGGAAAGGCCCUGCUUGCAGGGUGCUCGAGUGGCGAACGGGUGAGUAACACGUGGGUGAUCUGCCCCUUACUUUGGGAUAAGCCUGGGAAACUGGGUCUAAUACUGGAUAGGACCAUGCUGUAGGUGGUGUGGUGGAAAGAUUAGUUUCGGUAAGGGAUGAGCUCGCGGCCUAUCAGCUUGUUGGUGGGGUAAUGGCCUACCAAGGCGUCGAUGGGUAGCCGGCCUGAGAGGGUGGACGGCCACAUUGGGACUGAGAUACGGACCAGACUCCUACGGGAGGCAGCAGUGGGGAAUAUUGCACAAUAGGCGCAAGCCUGAUGCAGCGACGCCGCGCGGGGGAUGACGGCCUUCGGGUUGUAAACUCCUUGCAGCCAUGACGAAGCCCUUGUGGUGACGGUAGUGGUAGAAGAAGCACCGGCUAACUACGUG